UAACAAGGAUUCCCCUAGUAACUGCGAGUGAAGCGGGAAAAGCUCAAAUUUAAAAUCUGGCGGUCUUUGGCCGUCCGAGUUGUAAUCUAGAGAAGUAAUGCCCGUGCUGGACCGUGUAUAAGUCUCCUGGGAUGGGGCGUCAUAGAGGGUGAGAAUCCCGUCUUUGACACGGACUACCAGUGCAUUGUGGUAUGCUCUCAAAGAGUCGAGUUGUUUGGGAAUGCAGCUCAAAAUGGGUGGUAAAUUCCAUCUAAAGCUAAAUAUUGGCGAGAGACCGAUAGCGAACAAGUACCGUGAGGGAAAGAUGAAAAGAACUUUGGAAAGAGAGUUAAACAGUACGUGAAAUUGCUGAAAGGGAAACGCUUGAAGUCAGUCGCGUUGGCCGGGAAUCAGCCUUGCUUUUUGCAUGGUGUACUUUCUGGUUGACGGGUCAGCAUCAAUUUUGAUCACUGGAAAAGGCUCAGGGGAAUGUGGCAGCUUCGGCUGUGUUAUAGCCCUUGUUCACAUACAGUGGUUGGGAUUGAGGAACUCAGCACGCCGCAAGGCCGGGUUUCGACCACGUUCGUGCUUAGGAUGCUGGCAUAAUGGCUUUAAGCGACCCGUCUUGAAACACGGACCAAGGAGUCUAACAUGCCUGCGAGUAUUUGGGUGGAAAACCCAGGUGCGCAAUGAAAGUGAAAGUUGAGAUCCCUGUCGUGGGGAGCAUCGACGCCCGGACCAGAACUUUUGGGACGGAUCCGCGGUGGAGCAUGUAUGUUGGGACCCGAAAGAUGGUGAACUAUGCCUGAAUAGGGUGAAGCCAGAGGAAACUCUGGUGGAGGCUCGUAGCGAUUCUGACGUGCAAAUCGAUCGUCAAAUUUGGGUAUAGG
rnacentral:rRNA from 2 species